AUUGAACGCUGGCGGCAGGCCUAACACAUGCAAGUCGAGCGGAUGAGGAAAGCUUGCUUUUCGAUUCAGCGGCGGACGGGUGAGUAAUGCCUAGGAAUCUGCCUGUUAGUGGGGGAUAACUCGGGGAAACUCGGGCUAAUACCGCAUACGUCCUACGGGAGAAAGUGGGGGAUCUUCGGACCUCACGCUAACAGAUGAGCCUAGGUCGGAUUCGCUAGUAGGUGAGGUAAUGGCUCACCUAGGCGACGAUCCGUAACUGGUCUGAGAGGAUGAUCAGUCACACUGGAACUGAGACAAGGUGCAGACUCCUACGGGAGGCAGCAGUGGGGAAUAUUGGACAAUGGGCGAAAGCCUGAUCCAGCCAUGCCGCGUGUGUGAAGAAGGUCUUCGGAUUGUAAAGCACUUUAAGUUGGGAGGAAGGGUAUUCACCUAAUACGUGGGUACUUUGACGUUACCAACAGAAUAAGCACCGGCUAACUCUGAGCCAGCAGCCGCAGUAAUAC
rnacentral:rRNA from 1 species